AUUGAACGCUGGCGGCAGGCCUAACACAUGCAAGUCGAACGAGUGGCGGACGGGUGAGUAAUGUCUGGGAAACUUCCCGAUGGAGGGGGGUAACUACUGUAAACGGUAGCUAAUACCGCAUACCAUCGGAUGUGCCCCGAUGGGAUUAGCUAGUAGGUGGGGUAACGGCUCACCUAGGCGACGAUCCCUAGCUGGUCUGAGAGGAUGACCAGCCACACUGGAACUGAGACACGGUCCAGACUCCUACGGGAGGCAGCAGUGGGGAAUAUUGCACAAUGGGGGCAAGCCUGAUGCAGCCAUGCCGAGUGUAUGAAGAAGGCCUUCGGGUUGUAAAGUACUUUCAGCGAGGAGGCGUUACUCGCAGAAGAAGCACCGGCUAACGCCGUGCCAGCAGCCGCGGUAAUAC
rnacentral:rRNA from 1 species